rnacentral:siRNA from 1 species
UAGUGAUGAGGGUAGGAGUCCCA